CACCCAGCGAGAAUGGGAUCGACUGAAUCUAGACCAAAAAGCCCUGUACAAGGAGGUCAUGCUGGAGAACUUUAGUAUGGUGUCUUCUCUGGAAACUUCCAAACCAGUCCUCAUCACACAGCUGGAAGAGGGAAAAGAGCCAUUUGUUGGAGCGUCUGAAGAAGGUGAGGAGACCUCUGCUUAAGUAUGUGGCAACUUGAUGGCAACACAGGCAGGCUCUGGACCAUCUCCUCUUUAUGGUCAAGUGGAAAAAGCUGCCAUUAAACCACUUCGGCAGCUGGUGUCCUUUGAGGAGGUAGCUGUCUGUUUCACCAAAGGAGAGUGGGAUCUCUUAGAACCAGCACAAAAAGUUUUAUACAAGGAGGUCAUGCUGGCAAACUAUGGGGUGGUAGCGUCUCUGGGUAUUCCCAAACCAGAUCUCAUCUCUUGGCUGGAAGGAGCAGACGUCUCGUUUUUCCAGGACUCUAAGGAACAUAAGCGAUUUG